rnacentral:ncRNA from 2 species
GUGUAAAUUAUAAGUUUCGGUUCUAGUAAGGAACAGCUACUAGAGGAAACGGGGAAAGUCCGGUGCGAAUCCGGCGCUGUCCCGCAGCUGUAAUCAAGGCUUGCCUUGUGAGUCAGAAUGCCCGCCGAAAGUAACACACAAGC